GUGUAGGCAGUCGCGCCGUGUGGAACACAAACAACUGUGACGCGGAAAAAGACUCCGUGUGGCGACACUCAACUCCAUUUUCUCGCCCACUUCCACGCUCCUCCUGUCGAACCGCUCGAGACUUGAUUGUGCUCGCGCGUGACUUUCAGCCGCCCCGCGCGCGGCGGUGGACUUUAGCCCCGCGGGCUAACUAGCCAGCUAGCAGCGUGGGACGGAGGCGAGACAGGUGAGACAGGCAGGAGCCAUGGCGGCCGUGGACGUGAGCGUCUCACCCACGAGACGCGACCCGACGAGCUUCACGUGGGACUGGCGCGUUUCGCGGCGCGUGUACCCGAGAUAAGCUCGACAUUCCACGGUCCAUGUGUGACACAUCCGAAGUUUCACGCGCCGGGGAGCGUGUCUGGACGUGAAAGCCGCCGGUGACGUCACAGCCUACCCCACACCCUGCUGCUUCCCACCUGAGGGUUGCCCCACAUGUCGCUGGCGGGCUCCGCGCAGAUGCUGGCCAAGCUCGCCAAGCACGCCGCGGGUAAAGCGCGGGUCCAGCUGAGCCGCUGGCUGCGGAGGGGCGGCGACGACGGCGACAAGGGCGCCUUCGACGAGCGGGGGGCGGCAGGGCGCUGCGACGGCGACCCGGAGGUGGCCGGGGAAGCCGGCGGCGCCGACUCCAGGCACCCCUGCUGCAUCGUCAAGGGCACCCUGCUGGCGUGCAUCCUCGCCGCCGUGUGCUUCUCCUCGGUGGCGCUGGUCCGCCAGCACCUCAAGGACCUCCUGCUGUGGGUGGAGGGCCUGGACGGCCUGGUGGGCGCCCUGCUGUUCGUGGUGGGCUUCAUCCUGGUCUCCUUCCCCUGCGGCUGGGGCUACAUCCUGCUCAACGUGGCCGCCGGCUACCUCUACGGCUUGGUGCUGGGCAUGGGCCUGGUCAUGGUGGGGGUCCUCAUCGGGACCUUCGUGGCCCACCUGGCCUGCAAGCGGCUGCUGACCGACUGGGUGGUCAACAAGGUGGGGAACAGCGAGCAGCUCAGCGCCAUCAUCCGAGUGGUGGAAGGAGGGAGCGGACUCAAAGUCGUGGCCUUAGCGAGACUCACCCCCAUCCCCUUUGGACUCCAAAAUGCAGUUUUCUCUAUCCCAGACGUGUCCUUGGCCAACUACCUGGUGGCGUCCUCAGUGGGUCUGCUGCCCACCCAGCUGCUCAACUCCUACCUGGGCACCACCCUGCGCACCAUGGAGGACGUCAUCGCCCAGCAGAGUGUCAGUGGAUAUGUACUCUUCUCUCUGCAGAUCGUCAUCAGUAUCGGCCUGAUGUUCUACGUGGUGCACCGUGCUCAGGUGGAGCUCAACGCCGCCAUCGCCGCCUGCCAGAUGGAGCUGCACACCUCACACAUCAACGACAACCACGGCUUCACCUACUGCAGCAAGAGGACGGCAGCCGGCUGCGUCAACGUGGUGUAGAGACACCAUACCUGCCGUCUGCUGGCCACACCCCCUCAGGGGCGCCACUUGUGGUGACGCCCAUUAGCGCACCUGUUGACUCUUCCAGAAGAUGUCAAUCAAGACUUUGAAUGGACACUUCCUGUCUGACUUUGGCAAUAAAGUUUGAGGAAUCGGCCUGAAGCAAAAAAACAAGAAGGAGGGAUCAAGUUUGUUCCUUUUAAGGACUUCCUCAUGAAUAUUAAUGACAUUCUGAUCAUAUUCAUUGAUUAGUCACUAGUAUUCUGAUCAUAUUCAUUGAUUAGUCACUAGUAUUCUGAUCAUAUUCAUUGAUUAGUCACUAGUAUUCUGAUCAUAUUCAUUGAUUAGUCACUAGUAUUCUGAUCAUAUUCAUUGAUUAGUCACUAGUAUUCUGAUCAUAUUCAUUGAUUAGUCACUAGUGAAGUGCAUUACACACAUGCUGUAUUUUAUUAUGUUCACUCUAAUUUAUCACCCAUGAAAUAAAACAUGUUUUA